rnacentral:lncRNA from 1 species
CGGAAGGCCAUUGCACUCACAUAUGUAAACGAGAUUCAGAAUAUCCUUCUGGAAGCAGGACCCACCAAAACCAACACUAGAACUCAAGAACUUGGGACCAAUCCUUGAAUCCUUGCCAAUAGCAUAGGACACCUCAGCAACAUCAGCCCCAGUUGCCUCGCAGAGUGCUGACAUGGCAUUAACAGAGGAAAUCCUUUGGGCCAGGAAGGCAUUGGCAGCAAGCUUGGACAGCUCUGCAGACCAAAGGUUAGUGGUUAGGAUGCGGUCUUCAGGAACCCAGUGAGCGUAGACACUCUUCAAUGCUUGGAUUGCCUUCUGGCCUUCUGGGGUUUCCCUUCCUCCAAUGAGGACACGAUCAGGUUGAAACAGAUCUUCGAUUGCAGUUCCUUCUGCAAGGAACUCAGGGUUUGAGAGUAUCUG